GCGGGGGAGAGGGAGGGAGGGACGCGCAGGCUUUUGUGGUGCAGUCGCCUCCCGCGCAGCCCCAGCCCGCGGCCCGCGGCCCCGCUGCCCGGCCGGACCGAACGGCUCGCCCCGGCGCGCGCCCCGCCCCGCACGUCCUCCCGGCGCCCCCCGCCAGCCGGCGACCCCGUCUCUCGCGGGCCGGCUCCCCUCGCCGCCCCAGUCCCCUUCUUCAUCGCACCCCCAACCCCCGUCCCGGGUCGGCCCGCAAGGACUAGGCAGAGGCCGCCCGCAGUCGGGCCUGUCUGGCCCCCUUGAGGGACGAACGACCCCCGUCCCUCGGCGCCACGAAGAGGCCGGCCCAGUUGACGCCUCUUUCGGACAAGUGUCGAAAAGCCUUGUCACCGGACAGCCCGCCUCCGGCAGGACGGGAAGCCUCAGGGUCACUCGGGAAGGAAGGAGAAAGAGGCCGUCUGCAGCGCAGGGGGCUCAGGUAUCGCGGCUCCCGAGGUGCCUCUCGGGCCCAGAGGCAAGAGGCUUAGUGAGGAGCCCUGGGACCCCGGCCCCAGAAGACCCUCCGUUUCUCAAGCUCCCUCCCUCCCUGCCCACGGCGCCCGGAAGACGUGGGCGCCUGGUUACUGGAGGGUGGUCGCCGAUGGGGGGCGCUCAGGAGGUCCAGGGCCCGCAGGCGUGUGCAGUAGUCUGGUCGCGGCUGCCGCCCAACAGGUGCCUCUUUCUCCAAGGCCCCCUCGGGUGGGUUACCUGGAAGGUGAAAUUGCUGCGGGGUAGCCCAGGCCUGCAGCGCGCUGUCCCCCAGGCCUCCCCGCACGCUGCCGCGCCAGCCCUGUUAGGGACUUCUUUUGAGGUCCGGAUGGCGCUGGCCAGGCCAGGCUGGGAGCUGGGGAUCCAGAAGCUCCAGCCCAGGCCUGUUUACAAGCUGAACCUUCAAGACACAGUGAAGCUGUGUUUGUCUUUCUCUAGGUCCUAAGGAACCGGAGGCAAAUCGAGGUUUUAGGUUUGGGAAGAACCCAUCCUCCUUGGCCUGCAUGGGGGCCUGUGACUCCUAGUCGGUUCAAUGAGGACCAGCCCCCACCAGUCUUCCCCCCCUCCUCCCCAGUGUUCCCUCCUUCCUAAAAACCAGUCUCUGCACCCUCUACACGUCAACAUCCACAGCACCCCCAAACAGAUCGUUUUCCUCACACUGGCCCACUGGGAGGACCUAGCCCAGCAGAUCCAACCACGCCGCCACCCCAGGCCAGCUGUCCCAAGUCAGUGCAGGGCAGACACUCUACAUCGACCACUGUAGUGUCAAGAAGAAAAGAGAAAAGUGUGUGUGUGUUGGGGGGGUACUCCAGCAGUGCCCUGGAAUGCAGCACCGACAGGAUCCGUGAUAUUUCCGGUCUUCCCAGGAGAGGACUGGGCCAGGUGCAGGCCACAGAUGAGAAUCACACACGCUGAAGGACAAACAUAAACAGCAGCAGAUCAGAUCGCGGGCUUUUGGGUUCGCUUCCAAUUAGAUAGUUUAAGUGAAAGAAAUCAGGUCUAAUUUUUAUCUCCAAGGAUGACUGGCCUCCAGUAUUUCCAUUUCUAAAGGCCAGUUCCUGCUGUGUUUCAUUAGCAUUUGGGGCUGGCCCCUUCCCCUCUCCCCCCCACCCCUUGGGCCUGAUCUCUGCCAGGGGCAGAAAAGAAAACAUUGAAUUAUUACAAAAACAUCCCCAGUUUGGAGCAGGAGCGUAUGCUCCGGAUACACUCGAUUUUGACAUCAAUUAAGUAUAUAAGCAGACAAGCGCAUGUGGCUUUGGAGGGGCUGGUCGCCCUGGGUGCCUGGGCACACGCACUGUCUCUUCCCCUCUUUAGCUUCUGCUGCUGAUUCUAAAGACAGCCUCUUCCUCGAGUGUAUUUUCUCCCAGCAAUUACACUCCUCCACUGAAAUCUAAAUUUUCCAUACUGCUGCCUGCUACUAAUAAAAACCGUCUACCUUGCGCUAUUAAACAGUCGAAUCGCACUACAUGCGGUUUUUAUUGGUAGUGACUGUAGCAGAUUAAAAUGCCUACGCAGAGACAUUAAAACUUACGCUCUGCAUUGUUAUUGGAAUAUACAAACUCCGUUUCACUUUAAAGCGCCCUGAUAUUUUAAAAUCACUUUUCCUUUUCUUAGAUUCAAGUUGGCUUGGCCUUCUUCUGAAAUCAGUCAGUGAGAAGGACAGGCUGCAAGCGUGGAGGCCCGACGCGGUGGCUCCGCAGGCGGCCGCCUGCGAGGGUGGCCUGGCUUCCUCGAGCUCCGUCUCCCGUGACCGUGGAGAGCGCAGGCCGUGCGGGGAGAGAGCCGCGGCGAUGCGCGCCCACCGCCUCCUCCCCGGGACUGCGGGCCCGGGAUGCCCAGCCCACGUGCAAAAGUGUCCAGGCGAGCAGAGCUGCCCGGACCUCGCCCGCCGCUUGGCCGCUCUGGCUCUUGCUGUCCGUCCGAGCUCGGCUCGGCAGAGAGCGGGAAGGGGCGCAGGAAAAGCCGAGAGCUGCUGUGAAAUCGCGACCACUUUGUGACAAUUACAGGGGAGACGCUCAGUUUCAGGCUGGCCCUGCAUCUCCCCCUCCUCCCGUGCGUGCCUUUGUGAUGAUAAGUGAACACUGCCACAUGUUUUGUUUCUUGUCACAGUGGCCAACGCAUUCAGAACGAGUCGGCGCGGACUUGCCCCUUUCAAAGAGCCGGGGCUGCCCGCGAGGUCCAGCGCGCAGAGAUGCCUGGAACGCGGGCUUGGGCCCGAGGGUCUCUCUCCGGGAAGCUGGCUGCACCGGCCAGGGCGCCUCGCAGACACCAUCUGUCCUGGGCUCUGCAGCACGGGGGAGGCCAGGGAGUGAUGCGGGCCCAAGAGUCCUGCGUGCGGGCGGCGAGGGGGCGCUGUGGCCCACGGCUGCGGCCUCGUCUCUGCAGCGGUGGCCCCGUGCAGUCCCUGGCCACGGACGGGCGGUGGGCGCCCUAGCCGCUGCCCGACCUAUCUCUUCCCACCUCGGUUUAAUUUGGGGAACCAGGAAAAUUAUGCCGGGACACUUUAAUAAAACCGGAGGCACGCA